GCAGUCCUGACGAGCAGGGGCUGCGGACCGCCCGGCCUUGGACCCAUCCGGAGCCACAGGUUGGAGGAGAUAAGGAGCUGUCCCCGUGCUCAUCGCCCUGUGGAGCAGAUCCCGUCUCCCUGCUGACGGUGGAGCCCGGGAGUUCCAGGGCUUGGGAAGGGGAAGGAAACCUCUCUGAAAUCCGACACCUGCUCUCCCGGCAAGGAAACUUCGCAGGCUGACCGACCAAGACCAUCACUAUGACCGAUGGAGACUAUGAUUAUCUGAUCAAACUCCUGGCCCUCGGGGAUUCAGGGGUGGGGAAGACAACAUUUCUUUAUAGAUACACAGAUAAUAAAUUCAAUCCCAAAUUCAUCACUACAGUAGGAAUAGACUUUCGGGAAAAACGUGUGGUUUAUAAUGCACAAGGACCAAAUGGAUCUUCAGGGAAAGCAUUUAAAGUGCAUCUUCAGCUUUGGGACACUGCGGGACAAGAGCGGCCAACUGCAAGCAAAUGCUUAUUGUGAAAAUCCAGAUAUAGUAUUAAUUGGCAACAAGGCAGACCUAUCAGAACAGAGGGAAGUCAAUGAACGGCAAGCUCGGGAACUGGCUGACAAA
rnacentral:sRNA from 1 species